rnacentral:rRNA from 1 species
AUUGAACGCUGGCGGCAGGCCUAACACGUGCAAGUCGAGCGGCAGCGGAAGGAAGCUUGCUUCCUUGCCGGCGAGCGGCGGACGGGUGAGUAAGGUAUGGGGAUCUGGCCGAAGGCGGGGGAUAACCACUGGAAACGGUGGCUAAUACCGCAUAAUCUCUAAGGAGCAAAGUGGGGGACCGUUCAGGCCUCACACCUUCGGAUGAACCCAUAUGAAAUUAGCUAGUAGGUGGGGUAAUGGCUCACCUAGGCGACGAUCUCUAGCUGGUCUGAGAGGAUGAUCAGCCACACUGGGACUGAGACACGGCCCAGACUCCUACGGGAGGCAGCAGUGGGGAAUAUUGCACAAUGGGCGCAAGCCUGAUGCAGCCAUGCCGCGUGUAUGAAGAAGGCCUUUGGGUUGUAAAGUACUUUCAGUCGUGAGGAAGGUGUUAAGGUUAAUAACCUUAGCAAUUGACGUUAGCGACAGAAGAAGCACCGGCUAACUCCGAGCCAGCCGCCGCAGUAA